ACGCUCGACACCUACGGUAGGCAGCAGUGGGGAAUAUUGCACAAUGGGGGAAACCCUGAUGCAGCAACGCCGCGUGAAGGAAGACGGUUUUCGGAUUGUAAACUUCUGUUCUUAGUGAAGAUAGUGACGGUAGCUAAGGAGCAAGCCACGGCUAACUACGUGCCAGCAGCCGCGGUAAUCUGAGCGGGCUGGCAAGGC
rnacentral:rRNA from 1 species